AUGUUUGCUCAAAAUCUCUAAUAUGAAGGUAAGGGUUUUCGUCUUCCUUUCCCGAAAAAGAUAGGAUUUGAAUCAUGGAAAUCAACCUAGAACUUAACUUAUACUGGGAUGUUUGGAUAGGCUGUGAUGAUUCCCAUGGUAAAAGGUCAGUUGCUGAAGGGAUUGCAGACUCAUGGAUCGAUUUUAAGAAUAAAGAAAAUAAAUAAAGAAUAUAAAAGAUAAGAAAAGAUAAAAGUAUAGAUACAAGCUAAUAGUAAGACACAGGUUAUCUCAGCAACCGUCUUUCUCCCCGGCAAUGGCGCAAGAAAUGCUUGUUGAUAUUUGGGAACACAAUAAGGAAUUGAUCCGCAAGCGCACGGAUAUCGGUGAGCACUUCACCCGGGAGGUUAUCCAGAGUAUCGUAUUUAUUUUUUACCACUAGGAGAAAGAGUGCAUCUGACUAACCGGUCUAUUACUACUAACCUUUAGGCACAA
rnacentral:lncRNA from 1 species